UGACUCAUCUGCAAGGUUUUUAGCUGCUUAUGCAGAGUUUUGUUGGUUUUCAAGGGUUUUGAAGGUUUUGAAGUUAAAAACCAAGUUUUGAGGUUUAAUGAGUUUGAAGAGGAGUUGAUCCAUUUUUCUUUGUUCAGAUCGUUCAUCUUCUUGUUUACAAGAGGUAAGUGAAGAUCUUGAACUUGUUUUAAUGUUUUACAGAUGUUUUAUGGAGGUUUGGGUAAAGAUGCAUGUUUA
rnacentral:lncRNA from 1 species